UUGUCAAUCUUAUCCGCUACAACUAGCAAAUGAAGUCUUCUUCUUCCUUUUCAGUAUUAUUAGUUCCUUUGUUGUUCAUCCUAGUUGGCCUUGCUUCCAAUUGCAAUGCCACUAGCCGAGUGUUGUUCAGGCGUAUGUGCCCAUUAAAGCAUUCAACAAUGUAUGUUGGGGGAGAUGGUUGCCCUGACCCCGACCGUUUUCCAAGGAGUCUACCACCACGGCCACCACUGCCACCGCCGCCGCAGCCGCCACCGCCACCACCACCUCGAGUUGUACCUGUGCCAAGUAACCCUGGUCGGAUCCCUGUGAACCCAUGUCCACGGACUGGAAAACCACCUCGAAAGUCCGGUUUAGGAGUUGCUCGAAUACCGUGUGAUUAGAAAUUGUUGUUAUGUAGUCUUAAAACAAGUUGGCCAGACUAGAAGGUUUGCCUAGCCUGUUGAAUCACGUGGUUUCCUUACAUCCUAUAUCAAUUUCCGCUUCCGAAAUGCAAGAGUGAAGAAUAAUAAAAACUUGGCACGUAUGCAGCCAAAUGUUAGGCAAGAAAAAAAAUAAAGUCAUGAUUCUGUAGCCUUCAGUUUCAUUAGUUGAUUCUGUGAUAAAUGUCGUGAUUAUCCUUUAGUUUAUGUACUACAUGUGUUGAAAUACGCAACGGAUCUUCUGUUUCA
rnacentral:lncRNA from 1 species